UGCUCAGCAUGCAGCUGAAAACGGAGUACCCAAUGGAACCACUUUGGAUACGACCGAUCCACAGUUGCUUGGUCGACGACAGGCGGAGAAAGGCUGUGGCAGCGGAAAAAGAGAAAAGUAGUGAUAUGUAACCAAAUUUCUUCCUGGACCGGGAUCUGGUGCAAACGGACCCGAUCUCCACUUUGCAAAUUUCGUUUGGGCUGAAGCUACCACCAUGUGCAAAACUUUCACUUUGCUGAAAAGAAAAAAUCAAUCAAAGGAGAAAGAUAAGAUUUCCGCAAAAUCGUAAUUAGCUGUUGCGUAUUCUUUUAACGUUUUCGAUGAGAAUAUUUAUGGGCUCUUUGUAAGCACUUAUUAUUAGUAGUUGACCAAAGUUUCAUCGACACAAGGGUUAAGUUUGCGGACCAAUGCGUUUUCGGCAAACUAAACAAGAUCAACAAAAAAAAAGACAACAAUAAAAUACGACUGGCACGGCUUCAUUGGUUUUGCGGUUAAAAUGUUGCAACCAGAACUGGCAGUGCCACAAAACUUUGACGACUAAAAAGGCAGUAAGAUAAAUGAGUCGAAGCUUAAAUACACUUGGUAGUUAUUAAAAAUUAUUGGAGGUACGCUGAAGUAAAAAGUGUUAUUAAUGGAAGGUUUUCUUUGCUUUUAAGAAACUUAUAUUGAAAAUUUGGUUUACUGAGCUAUGAAAUCGGUUGCUUCAAUUUCAUAAGCUUCGCCUGGAAGAACCCACAAUAAACCCAUAAUCAUUGUGCAGCCCACUUUUGCACAGACUAAUAAUACCCCUUUCUCGCCACCAUCAAAAGCACGAAACAACGGCGAAAAACUGGCGAAUCUAUAAAAAUGCAAAUUAGAAGAAGCGAAAAAAUAAGCCAACAAACGACUCCAGAAACUGGAACGAACUUAGACUGCAACUCCAACUCAAACUCCGAUUUGGAUUCAGAUCGAGAGGGGCCGUCGAUAAACGUUACCCGUGCUAUUGCCUCUGGGCCACAAAAGCGUUGGCGUCCAGUCUCUGUGAUCUAUGGACUGACCGGCCCAAUUGGCCAAGAAGCGAUUUGGGUUAACUGCAGCUGCAACACGCCGACGAUCGGAAAACUCGGGCCAACUAAUUGUGCGGAAAUCUACGAGGCGCGUCAUAAAUACUGUCGCUUUUCUCAUCUCUCUUUCAGCAGAGCGGUCUUUGAUGGGAAGUUGCAGCUCCGCGAUGGUCAGUGGUUGCAAUUGCACCUGCACAUUAAACAAUAAGAGGAUGCACCGAAAAAAAAAGUUACUUAGGCGGCUUCAUUGCUAGAAUAGUUGAAUGUAUCUCAGAACCAAGUUAGAUAGUUUACUGAUUAUCAUUAUCCCCAAAACACA